AUAUGCAAAGUGUAUACUAUUUGGUGGGAUAUUUUGGCAAACAUUUUAACAAAGGUAUUCAUAUACAUAAUAUGAAUGUAAAAUGCUCACAAUGUACAUCCCCCAAGCUUCAUUAUAACAACUCUGAUCCUUUGGAUAAAUCAAAUGGAUUAUCUUCGCUUAGAGAAAUACAUGUUCAUCGAUUUGUAAUGAAAAUGACAAUCAAAUUUCCAGGUUGAUGAUUAAUAGAAAAAGACAAUCUAGUAUUUGACUCCGAAGUAUUAUAACUUAUCCAUUCUAUAAAUAAAGUAUUUUGGAAAUUA
rnacentral:lncRNA from 1 species